AUUGAACGCUGGCGGCAGGCCUAACACAUGCAAGUCGAGCGGAUGAAGGGAGCUUGCUCCUGGAUUCAGCGGCGGACGGGUGAGUAAUGCCUAGGAAUCUGCCUGGUAGUGGGGGAUAACGUCCGGAAACGGGCGCUAAUACCGCAUACGUCCUGAGGGAGAAAGUGGGGGAUCUUCGGACCUCACGCUAUCAGAUGAGCCUAGGUCGGAUUAGCUAGUUGGUGGGGUAAAGGCCUACCAAGGCGACGAUCCGUAACUGGUCUGGGAGGAUGAUCAGUCACACUGGAACUGAGACACGGUCCAGACUCCUACGGGAGGCAGCAGUGGGGAAUAUUGGACAAUGGGCGAAAGCCUGAUCCAGCCAUGCCGCGUGUGUGAAGAAGGUCUUCGGAUUGUAAAGCACUUUAGGUUGGGAGGAAGGGCAGUAAGUUAAUACCUUGCUGUUUUGACGUUACCAACAGAAUAAGCACCGGCUAACUUCGUG
rnacentral:rRNA from 1 species